UUGAACGCUGGCGGCACGCUUAACACAUGCAAGUCGAACGGCAGCACGGGGAGUUUACUCCUGGGUGGCGAGUGGCGAACGGGUGAGUAACGCGUAGGGAUCUGCCUGUUAGAGGGGGAUAAGCCGGGGAAACUCGGACUAAUACCGCAUACGCUCUGAGGAGGAAAGGACGGGACUGGGAAACCAGCCGUGCGCUAACAGAUGAACCUGCGUUAGAUUAGCUAGUUGGUAGGGUAAAGGCCUACCAAGGCGACGAUCUAUAGCUGGUCUGAGAGGAUGACCAGCCACACUGGAACUGAGAUACGGACCAGACUCCUACGGGAGGCAGCAGUGGGGAAUAUUGGACAAUGGGGGCAACCCUGAUCCAGCGAUGCCGCGUGUGUGAAGAAGGCCUGAGGGUUGUAAAGCACUUUAGUUGGGGAGGAAAGGCUCUUGCCGAAUAGGUAAGAGAGAAGACGUUACCCAAAGAAUAAGCACCGGCUAACUCUGUGCCAGCAGCCGCGGUAAUACAGAGGGUGCAAGCGUUAAUCGGAAUGACUGGGCGUAAAGGGCACGUAGGCGGAUAGAUGUGUCAUAGGUGAAAUCCCCGGGCUCAACCUGGGAACUGCCUGUGAAACUGUGUAUCUAGAAUAUAGGAGAGGGAAGUGGAAUUUCCGGUGUAGCGGUGAAAUGCGUAGAUAUCGGAAAGAACACCAGUGGCGAAGGCGACUUCCUGGUCUAAUAUUGACGCUGAGGUGCGAAAGCGUGGGGAGCAAACGGGAUUAGAUACCCCGGUAGUCCACGCUGUAAACGAUGAGAACUAGAUGCUUGUUGACUAAGGUUAAUGAGUAUGAAGCAAACGCGUAAGU
rnacentral:rRNA from 1 species